CCCUUUGGGUGUGACUGCGUACCUUUUGUAUAAUGGGUCAGCGACUUAUAUUCUGUAGCAAGGUUAACCGAAUAGGGGAGCCGGAGGGAAACCGAGUCUUAAUUGGGCGUUAAGUUGCAGGGUAUAGACCCGAAACCCGGUGAUCUAGCCAUGGGCAGGUUGAAGGUUGGGUAACACUAACUGGAGGACCGAACCGACUAAUGUUGAAAAAUUAGCGGAUGACCUGUGGCUGGGGGUGAAAGGCCAAUCAAACCGGGAGAUAGCUGGUUCUCCCCGAAAGCUAUUUAGGUAGCGCCUCGUGAAUUCAUCUCCGGGGGUAGAGCACUGUUUCGGCUAGGGGGCCAUCCCGGCUUACCAACCCGAUGCAAACUGCGAAUACCGGAGAAUGUUAUCACGGGAGACACACGGCGGGUGCUAACGUCCGUCGUGAAGAGGGAAACAACCCAGACCGCCAGCUAAGGUCCCAAAGUCAUGGUUAAGUGGGAAACGAUGUGGGAAGGCCCAGACAGCCAGGAUGUUGGCUUAGAAGCAGCCAUCAUUUAAAGAAAGCGUAAUAGCUCACUGGUCGAGUCGGCCUGCGCGGAAGAUGUAACGGGGCUAAACCAUGCACCGAAGCUGCGGCAGCGACACUGUGUGUUGUUGGGUAGGGGAGCGUUCUGUAAGCCUGUGAAGGUGUGUCGUGAGGCAUGCUGGAGGUAUCAGAAGUGCGAAUGCUGACAUAAGUAACGAUAAAGCGGGUGAAAAGCCCGCUCGCCGGAAGACCAAGGGUUCCUGUCCAACGUUAAUCGGGGCAGGGUGAGUCGACCCCUAAGGCGAGGCCGAAAGGCGUAGUCGAUGGGAAACGGGUUAAUAUUCCCGUACUUGGUGUUACUGCGAAGGGGGGACGGAGAAGGCUAUGUUGGCCGGGCGACGGUUGUCCCGGUUUAAG
rnacentral:rRNA from 1 species